UGCCACCUUGUAAAGAAGGUGCCUGCUUCCUCUUUGCCUAUGGCCAUGAUUGUAAGUUUCCUGAGGCCUCCCUAGCCAUGCGGAACUGUGAGUUAAUUAAACCUUCUUCGUUUAUAAAUGUCCCAGUCUCAGGUAGUAAGUUUAUAGCAGUGCAAAAACAGAUUAAUUCAGGGACUCUCAGGCAAACCAGGAUCUAGGGACACCCUACCUAUGUGGGAUCUGGAAAAGAGCCUUCCAUGUAGCACAAAGAGCUAAUGCAAAGGCCUUGAGGCAGGAGUGUGCCUGGCUGGUACAAAGUCCAGCAAGACCACUGUGGUUAAGGCCAAUGAGCAAAAGAGAGGGAAGAAGAAAAAGAAGGAGGCCAGGCCAGGCAUUUCAUUAGUGGCCCUGAAGACCAUGGUAAGGACUUUGACAAAGAGAGGGAAGAAGAAAAAGAAGGAGGCCAGGCCAGGCAUUUCAUUAGUGGCCCUGAAUACCAUGGUAAGGACUUUGACAAAGAGAGGGAAGAAGAAAAAGAAAGAGGCCAGGCCAGGCAUUUCAUCAGUGGCCCUGAAGGCCAUGGUAAGGACUUUGACAUUGACUUUGAAUGAAAUGGAGAGUCACUGGAAGGAUUUAUCCAAGGGUUGAUAUGACUUGACUUGUGAGUAGGGAUUUCCUUUAGAAACCAUUGUAAUACAUUAGGUGAGAAAAGAUGAUAAGUGUUACUGGGUGUGGAUGGUAGCAAAAGCAGUGGUCAGAAGUGGUCAGAUCCUUGACAUAUACAUAUAAACUUUUUUUUGUAAAUUAUACUUUAAGUUCUGGGGUACAUGUGCAGAAUGUGCAGUUUUGUUACAUUAGGUAUACGCGUGCCUUGCUGUUUUGCUCCACCCAUCAACCGGUCACCUACAUUAGGUAUUUCUCCUAAUGCUAUCCUUCCCCUAGCCCUGCACUCACCUGACAGGCCCUGUGUGUGAUGUUCCUCUCCCUAUGUCCAUGUGUUCUCCCUGUUCAACUCCCACUUAUGAGUGAGAACAUGAGGUGUCUGGUUUUCUGUUCUUGUGAUAGUUUACUGAGAAUGAUGGUUUCCACCUUCAUCCAUCUCCCUGCAGAGGACAUGAACUCAUCUUUUUUUAUGGCUGCACAGUAUUCCAUGGUGUAUAUGUGCCACAUUUUCUUUAUCAAGUCUGUCAUUGAUGGGCAUUUGGGUUGGUUCCAACUCUUUGCUAUUGUGAAUAAUGCCACAAUAAAUAUAUGUGUGCAUGUGUCUUUAUAGUAGAAUGAUUUAUAAUGCUUUGGGUAUAUACCCAGUAAUGUGAUUGCUGGAUCAAAUGGUAUUUCUCGUUCUAGAUCCUUGAGGAAUUGCCACACUGUCUUCCACAAUGGUUGAACUAAUUUACACUUCCACUAACAGUGUAAAAGCAUUCCUAUUUCUCCACAUUCUCUCCAGCAUCUGUUGUUUCCUGACCUUUUUAAUGAUUGCUAUUCUAACU
rnacentral:lncRNA from 1 species